AGGAAAUCAGCUCAGCUUGUUCAGCGCAUCCCGACAUUAUCAGUCGGGAGGGUCGGGGGUUCGAACCCCUCAUUUCCUA
rnacentral:tRNA from 1 species